CUGAGAGAAGGCCGGCUCCUGUGCUCUGCACUCUGGCCCAGGGCUGCUGUUCCGCUGGCUGACGCCCUGUCCCCACCCCAGCAUGUCCUGCUUCCAGGCUGCUUGACCCGGCUGGGCUGGGUGCCUCUUCCCCACCCCCGCCCCAGUCUCCCGGGCCCCAUCCCAGCCUGGCCCGUCAUAACUGCCGAUCCCCAGAACUGUCCCUGGUGUGCAGCAGGCAUGCAGGGUGGGCCUGCAGAGCGAGGUCCCAGCACCGGCGGCAUCUGGCGCUGAACACAGGAAGAUGGGACGUUUGCUGAAUGAAUGCACGUCCCUGAUGAGGCCUGGACUUCGACGGAUGAAGGGGCUGGUGGGGUGGAGUCAGGGUUCCCCGAAAGCCCUGGGUGGAGAGGGUCCCCAAAGUGGGGUCAGACAGCCUGUGAGGCUCACAGUCCUGCCCUGCAGCCCUUUGGUUUGGACCAGGUGCCACCUCCCCAUCUCCCUGGCCCCAGCCCUCAGCUAACCAGCCCAUGCCACCGCCUGGAAAUGGGCCAGAGGGCAGUGGCGACCUGCCCAAGUCCACACGCAGGCCACAGGCCACACUCUGAACCCCGGGGCAGGCUCAGACGGGCUUUGCUCAGCCUGCCUUAGGGCAUAGAGGGAGACUGAGUCAGGGCCCUCCCAGGAAGGAUGGGUGUGCGGCCUUCCACGCUCGGGACUUUGGGCCACGAUGUCCACCCCAGGGUCUUCGCAGAGCAGCGGGAAAGGACCCUGCUGGCAGGCACAGUGCCCGUCUCUGCCCCCGGCUCUGCUCCAACCGCCCCCAGCCCAAGGGCGGCACGCCGCAGGGGGUCUGUGAUCCCCCCACGUCCCCGGCUCCUUUCACCCACACACCACACUGGGAGGCGGCAGCCCGAGGGCAGGUUUAUUGACAACCUCACGGGACACAAGCAGGCUGGGGACAGGACGGCGACAGGCUCCGGCGGCGGCGGCGGCGGCGCUACCUGCGGUACCAGAUCUGCAGCCUCCGCUCCCGCUUGAUCUUCCUCUGCAGCUGCAGGAUGCCGUAGAGCAGGGCCUCGGCCGUAGGUGGGCAGCCUGCAGGGACCUUGCCUCAGUCUCGCUUCCCGCAGCCGGAGCCCGCGUGACCGCGUGCACAGCGCAGCCGGCUCGGCUUUGGAAGGGUUUCCCGGGCCGGCCUCUGAAGGUGGAGGCUGACAGCCCUGGGUGGGCGCAGUGCCAGGGACUGGGAGCCGGCGCAGGGGAGGUCCCUGCAGGAAGAGUGGGGUCCUCCCCUGGGCAAGGCCCCACUGCCCUCCACCCGUGGCUCAUCCCGGGCUGUCACAGGGACCUCUCGGACAAGACGCUGACCUCACUAACCCGGCCCCCGGCCCCAGCCCUCAGGACUCAAUGGGGGCCAGCGCUCAGCAGACACACUUAGCAGUGGGGAGCAGGGCCCGGGGCUGCCCUGGACGGAGAUGGAGGCAGGGAGGCUGGGCGGAGGGAGGGGAGGUGGCCCAGAGCCCGGGCAUCCCACGAGGACCCGAUGACCCUCUUUCUGAGCCCCAAGCCAGAGCUCUUUGCUGGGGAUCCCCCAGUCCCGGCUGCCACGCAGGUUCAGAACAAAGGGCUUGAGCAAGAGGACGAAGCCCAGGGCCCAACGGGGACAGCAGGAGUGGAAACAGGGGAAGACGCCAGGGGCAUGGGCAGAGCUCCUGACCCCAGGAUGGACCUCUCUGUGCUGUCAAGUCACAGGGAGGCCCAGGCUGCCCUCUCCACUGCCCCCGGGGUGACCUGAACCGUGCAGAACGCUGAACAAAUCAACGCCCUUUCCAGGGAAGCGGAAUCCAAAGUCAGAGCCUGUUCCUCCACUUUUGAGAGGCACCAGGAUGUGCCUCUCGCUUGCCCAAACCCCCAGACUCGGGACUCAGGGCUGGGCUCUCUGCGCAUGAGCUAAUGCCGCACGCAGCACAGGGUGGCCAAGAACAGGACUCUGUCCCCUGUCCCACAUGAGCGCCACCUCCAAGCCUGCCUACCGUGGACCACUGUCAAGGUGAACGCCCGGGGGGAUGGCCCUCGUGGGACCACGUGAGGUGCAAGAGUCCCACGGGAUCACCAGAUAUAAAGAAUGUUCCCGGUGCGAUGUGAAUUUCAGGUAGGACCAUAUGAAACUGCUGUAAACCAGGCGUGUGUCAGGAAUUCCACUCAGCUUCCCCUGCUCCCUCUGAUCCCUCUGAUGCCUGAAUACAUCGCCGACUUCUCACAGGGGACAGGCUCCACUAAGAGGCAGCGCUCCGAGUCGGCCCAUCCAUAGGAUGGGGGAGCCCGCCGUCUGCUGGGGGUGUGGGACUCCCUCACAGGGGCCGCCGGGCUCCGUGUGGCGCUGGCCCUGUCUCCAGCUCCCUCGUGGGCGGUGCGGUCCCGGCCCUACCUGGGAUGUAGAUGUCCACGGGCACGAUGCGGUCGCAGCCCCUCACCACCGAGUAGGAAUAGUGGUAGUAGCCUCCUCCGUUGGCGCAGCUGUUGGGGAGGCACCGUGAGGGGAGUGUGCCGAAGACCCGCCUGCCCACCCUCCCUCCACGAGGCCUCGCCCCAUCCCCACCCGCCUUCAACUGCAGGCCAGGCACCUACGAGGCUGGAACUUGUCACGGAGAAGCAAUGAGCAAACACGCACAGGCUCCCAGAGCCUCUGUGGGACCAGUGGGGCGCAAGCUCACACGUGGCUGAUAACUCGGGGAAAAGUGCUCCCCUCCCGAGGGGGCUCCUGACCACCGAUUCCCGGGGCUGGGAUGUGUCAGAUCACAUGUGUCAACAAAAAGCCACUUCAGACAGCCACAGUGCCAACACCCAGCCCCUGUCUAUGGGGCGGCUGAGCCUCACCCUCGCCUGAUUCCGGCUCUGUCAGUGAGGCGCUGGGGUCCACCCGGGGCAGGGAGCUGGAAACCCCAGGAGACCACACAGACUCCACUCCCAGCACUGCUUCCCACAGCCGUAAAAAUGGACAUACCCUGAAUGCCCAGCAGUGGGAGACGGUUAUGAAAACUCUGGAAUAUUCUAAUUAACUGUUUAGAAUUAGAUUAGUAAUAUGUCCACACAGUGGGAUAUUAUUCAGCCAAGAAAAGGCACGAGGCUCGGACACAGGCCACAGCACGGAUGCACCUUGAGGACGUCGCGCUCAGUGAGAGACGCCGGACACAGAAGGCCAUGCGGCGUGUGAUCCUGUUUCUGUGAAAUGUCCAGGACGGGCCCAUCCACAGAGACAGGGAGGGGAGGUGUGGGCACCGGGGCUCGGAAGGGGAUGCAGAGUGACUGCUGAUGGGGACAGCAUUUCAUUUGGGGGUGAUGAGAAUGUUCUGGAAUUAGAGGUGGUGGCCUAAAAACCACUGAACUGCUCGCUUUAAAAGGGUAAACUUAUCAAGACCUGAUCUCUACAGAAAUUUUAAAAAGUAGGCACAGUGGAGUACAUCUGUAAUCCCAGCACUCUGAGAGGCUAAGGUUGGGGGACCGCUUGAGCCCAGGAGGUCAAGGCUGCAGUGAGCUAUGACUGCACCACUGCACUCCAGCCUGGGCAACUCAGUGAGACUCUGUCUCU
rnacentral:lncRNA from 1 species